UGGUGAUUUUAAACAAUCAGACUCAAUUCUGCUGAGAUUUGUGAACAUACUUCUUUAAAUCUUUAUUGUCAUGAGGUCAGCUUCUCUCGUGAUAAUUUCCGUGUUAUUUGAAGAUUAUUUUGCAGUAAAGAAGUAAGAUUUAUCGGUUUCUAGAGCCGGCAAGUUCGAAAGUCGACAAAGUUGAUAACGAAUUCUGUUACUACGGGAAGCCAUUUUCAACUUCUCAUUUAGUUGGCCUGUAGUUGUAGAAGUUAGGAGCUCGUGUGGGUGUGUACGCGUGUGUGAAAACUAGUUUCAGUAUCGCGUACUGAGCUGGUUGGAAUUUGGUGGUGGAUUCUUAGUUCUUGGCCUCGUGUUGCUUGAAUACUGAUAGUGUAAGGAUGAAAUUCGUCGUCAGUCUUUACUACAAUUUGCUGGUGCCCUGAAUGUGGAUGCAAUAUUGUAAGAGAUUGAAGCAUUCAAGUAAUAAGAUUAUCAUAAUGCCGUAAGUAGCGUCAAUUUUAAAUAAAUACGAAUUCAAACUUUCCACGUUCUUUACAACAUCUCCACCAAAGUUGAAAGGAAGUUAAGUAGAAAAAAAUGAAAAUAAAAGGUAACUCAACUCACAAAAAACAAAUUAAUCAUGGAUAUUAAUCUUAAACAUUGGGAACUGUAUUGGAUAAAUUUAAAACC